UAUAGGCAGCUAUUACUUUACCUGAGGGCUUUCUGCCUCUUCAAAUGCUUCACAUUGACUUGAGCAACCAAUACAGAGGAACAACACCACAACACUACAAUACAGAGGAACAACACCACAACACUACAAUACAGAGUAACAACAUCACAACACAACAAUACAGAGUAACAACACUACAACACUACAACACAACAAUACAGAGUAACAACACUACAACACUACAAUACAGAGUAACAACACUACAACACUACAACACUACAAUACAGAGUAACAACAUCACAACACAACAAUACAGAGCAACAACUCUACAACACUACAACACAACAAUACAGAGUAACAACACUACAAUACAGAGAAACAACAUCACAACAAUACAGAGUAACAACACCACAACAAUACAGAGUAACAACACCACAACAAUACAGAGUAACAACAUCACAACAAAACAAUACAGAGUAACAAUAUCACAACAAUACAGAGUAACAACACCACAUCACAACAAUACAGAGUAACAACACUACACCACAACAAUACAGAGUAACAACAUCACAACAAAACAGAGUAACAACAUCACAACAAUACAGAGUAACAACACCACAACAAUACAGAGUAACAACAUCACAACAAAACAAUACAGAGUAACAAUAUCACAACAAUACAGAGUAACAACACUACAACACUACAAUACAGAGUAACAACAUCACAACAAUACAGAGUAACAACACUACAACAAUACAGAGUAACAACAUCACAACACUACAACUCAACAAUACAGAGUAACAACACUACAACACUACAAUACAGAGUAACAACAUCACAACAAUACAGAGUAACAACAUCACAACAAUACAGAGUAACAACAUCACAACACUACAACUCAACAAUACAGAGUAACAACACUACAACACUACAAUACAGAGUAACAACAUCACAACAAUACAGAGUAACAACAUCACAACACUACAACUCAACAAUACAGAGUAACAACACUACAACACUACAAUACAGAGUAACAACAUCACAACAAUACAGAGUAACAACAUCACAACAACUACAACACUACAAUACAGAGUAACAACAUCACAACAAUACAGAGUAACAACAUCACAACAAUACAACUCAACAAUACAGAGUAACAACACUACAACACUACAAUACAGAGUAACAACAUUACAACACAACAUUACAGAGUAACAACACUACAACACUACAACACAACAAUACAGAGUAACAACACUACAACACAACAAUACAGAGUAACAACAUUACAACACAACAUUACAGAGUAACAACA
rnacentral:lncRNA from 1 species